AGUGAACGCUGGCGGUAGGCCUAACACAUGCAAGUCGAACGGCAGCACAGUAAGAUCUUGCUCUUACGGGUGGCGAGUGGCGGACGGGUGAGGAAUACAUCGGAAUCUACUUUUUCUUGGGGGAUAACGUAGGAAAACUUACGCUAAUACCGCAUACUACCUACGGGUUAAAGCAGGGGUUCUUCGGACCUUUCGCGAUUGAAUGAGCCGAUGUCGGAUUAGCUAGUUGGCGGGGUAAAGGCCCACCAAGGCGACGAUCCGUAGCUGGUCUGAGAGGAUGAUCAGCCACACUGGAACUGAGACACGGUCCAGACUCCUACGGGAGGCAGCAGUGGGGAAUAUUGGACAAUGGGCGCAAGCCUGAUCCAGCCAUACCGCGUGGGUGAAGAAGGCCUUCGGGUUGUAAAGCCCUUUUGUUGGGAAAGAAAAGCGGCAGGUUAAUACCCCGCUGUUCUGACGGUACCCAAAGAAUAAGCACCGGCUAACUUCGUG
rnacentral:rRNA from 1 species